UCAGGUGGGACUACCCGCUGAACUUAAGCAUACAAUAAGGCGGAGGAAAAGAAACUAACAGGGAUUCCCCUAGUAACGGCGAGUGAAGCGGGAUGAGCUCAAAUUUAAAAUCUGAUAGUCUUUGGCUGUCCGAGUUGUAAUCUAGAGAAGUGUUUUCCGCGUUGGACCAUGUACAAGUUUCCUGGAACGGAACGUCAUAGAGGGUGAGAAUCCCGUCCUUGACAUGGACUACCAGUGCUUUGUGAUACACUCUCAACGAGUCGAGUUGUUUGGGAUUGCAGCUCAAAAUGGGAGGUAAAUUCCUUCUAAAGCUAAAUAUUGGCGAGAGACCGAUAGCGAACAAGUACCGUGAGGGAAAGAUGUAAAGCACUUUGGAAAGAGAGUUAAACAGUACGUGAAAUUGUUAAAAGGGAAACGAUUGAAGUCAGUCGCGUUUACUUGGACUCAGCCUUACCUCGGUUUGGUGCAUUUCCUUGUGAACGGGCCAGCGUCAAUGUUGUCCGUUGGAAAAGGGUUGGAGAAAUGUGGCUCUUUCGGGAGUGUUAUAGUCUCUGAUCGUAUACAACGGCUGAUAUUGAGUGGUACAACAUGCUUCGGCGGUGCUUGUGCUGGCAUAAU
rnacentral:rRNA from 1 species